UACGUAGGGUGCGAGCGUUAAUCGGAAUUACUGGGCGUAAAGCGUGCGCAGGCGGUGAGCUGUGUCCGAUGUGAAAGCCCCGGGCUUAACCUGGGAAUGGCAUUGGAAACUGGCUCGCUGGAGUGUGGCAGAGGGGGGUGGAAUUCCGCGUGUAGCAGUGAAAUGCGUAGAGAUGCGGAGGAACACCGAUGGCGAAGGCAGCCCCCUGGGCUAACACCGACGCUCAGGCACGAAAGCGUGGGGAGCAAACAGG
rnacentral:rRNA from 1 species